CAUCUCUCAGUGUCACACCUGGAGAAUUUCCAGCACUCCACCAGCUUUGACUACAGGAGGGAGAGUUAAGCAGAGGCAUACCCAUUCCAUUCCUACCUUGGGCAGUGGCUAGCGAGUGGAAGGCAAUCUGCUACAAAU